CACGUAGUUAGCCGGAGCUUCUUCUGCAGGUACCGUCGUUCUCUUCCCUGCUGAAAGCGGUUUACAACCCGAAGGCCUUCGUCCCGCACGCGGCGUUGCUGCGUCAGGCUUUCGCCCAUUGCGCAAAAUUCCCCACUGCUGCCUCCCGUAGGAGUCUGGGCUGUAUCUCAGUCCCAAUGUGGCCGGUCGACCUCUCAGUCCGGCUACCCAUCGCGGGCUAGGUGGGCCGUUACCCCGCCUACUACCCUAAUGGGCCGCGACCCCCAUCCCGCACCGUCGGGGCUUUCCCGCCCCCCUCAUGCGGAGGGGCGGAGUAUCCGGUAUUAGCUGCCGUUUCCAGCAGUUAUCCCGGGGUGCGGGGCAGGUUGGUCACGUGUUACUCACCCGUUCGCCACUCUAUACUCCGCCCGGAGGCGGUUUAAUCGUUCGACUUGCAUGUGUUAAGCACGCCGCCAGCGUUCAUCCUGAGCCAGGAUCAAACUCU
rnacentral:rRNA from 1 species